GAUGAAGAACGUAGCGAAAUGCGAUAAGUAAUGUGAAUUGCAGAAUUCAGUGAAUCAUCGAAUCUUUGUACGCACAUUGCGCCCGCCAGUAUUCUGGCGGGCAUGCCUGUUCGAGCGUCAUUACAACCCUCAGGCCCCCGGGCCUGGCGUUGGGGAUCGGCGAGGCGCCCCCCGCGGGCACGCGCCGUCCCCCAAAUACAGUGGCGGUCCCGCCGCAGCUUCCAUUGCGUAGUAGCUAACACCUCGCAACUGGAGAGCGGCGCGGCCAUGCCGUAAAACACCCAACUUCUGAAUGUUGACCUCGAAUCAGGUAGGAAUACCCGCUGAACUUAAGCAUAUCAAUAAGCGGAGGA
rnacentral:misc_RNA from 1 species